AUACGGGGGGUGCAAGCGUUAAUCGGAAUUACUGGGCGUAAAGGGCGCGUAGGCGGUUACUUAAGUUAGAUGUGAAAGCCCCGGGCUUAACCUGGGAAUUGCAUUUAAUACUGGGUAACUAGAGUGUGGUAGAGAGUAGCGGAAUUUCUGGUGUAGCGGUGAAAUGCGUAGAUAUCAGAAGGAACACCAAUGGCGAAGGCAGCUACUUGGGCCAACACUGACGCUGAGGCGCGAAAGCGUGGGGAGC
rnacentral:rRNA from 1 species